rnacentral:rRNA from 1 species
CACUGACAUUAGAUACCCGCGUAGUCCCAGCCGUAAACUAUGCGCGUUAGGUGUACUGGUGACCACGAGUCACCGAGGUGCCGAAGGGAAACCGUGAAACGUACCGCCUGGGAAGUACGGUCGCAAGGCUGAAACUUAAAGGAAUUGGCGGGGGAGCACCACAACAGGUGGAGCCUGCGGUUUAAUUGGACUCAACGCCGGACAUCUCACCGGAUAAGACAGCUGAAUGAUUGCCGGGCUGAAGACUCUGCAUGACUAGCUG